rnacentral:tRNA from 1 species
GGUCCCGUAGCUCAACUGGAUAGAGCGCCUGCCUACGAAGCAGGAGGUUGGGAGUUCGACCCUCCCCGGGGCCGCCA